AUUCUCUGGAGCUUCUGUUUCCAGCGGAGAGGAGAGGGAGGCAGCCGAGUCCCAACUCAGCAGGCCUGGGAGUGUUCAGGAUUUUGAACUUGGAAGAAGAGUUCGGAGGACUGGCAGGCAGUGAGGGCCUAGAUCCCACCUCAGCGUGGAAGGCUGCUAGAAAGGGACAGGACCGGCCGACCUCCGGCCUUGACUGCAGGAGCCAGCAGCCUUGGGGAGAUGUGCAGAGCCCCCUCUCUGGUUGGACCACAGGGAGCAGCUCGAAGGACGCUGAGACGGAAGCAGGCCCUGCACGGCAUCGGUCCCACCACCUGCUUCUGUAGGGCAGCGUGGAGCGUGGAUUGUCCUGACCAGCCCCUGGCCCAAGAGUUCUGCAAACCUCAGAGAGGCCUCCCACUGAGGGGCUGAGAGGUACCAGCUGUGCUGGAACUCAGGCCUCCUUCUUGCUCAUGCUCUUCUCCCCUGAACAAAACAAGCCUCCUCCUUCUCCGCCCCACCCCCCAUUUUUGGCAAAAGUUCUCAAAGGACAAAAAAAACCCCAGCAAGUCAUCAAAACGUUCUGUUCCCAUCCCAUUUGUAAGCUCAUCUUUAAAAAGUCACUUUAAUAUGAAAACAGUGUACAAAAGCUACCUGCACACAACUUGAGAGCAGCCCUUCCCCAGACUGCAGGUGACAGGAGGCAGCUGAGCGGAGAAGUCCUUCUGGCACCACAGGCAGGAGGGACUCAGGGAGCCCCUGCCCUGCUCGGGCCCUGCUCCCUGGGCUCAGCGGGGAACAGGCCUGGGGGCUUUUCUGCGUCCUCGUUCUCUUCAAGGAAGGCCAAGAAAAUGGUUAUUAACAGCACCCCACCUGUUGGGGCCAGCCUCCUUGUCUGCAAAAUGACGAGGUUGAGAUUUUAUAUA